AAUAACUUUAGAUGUGGAAUGUUGCCUGGAAAUUUGCCCUUGUAACGAGAUCCCCAGAUGAUUCCAGUAGCAGAAAAUACAGAUGAUAGAGGAACAAGUUACAUGAUGCUACAUAGAAAAAAAUCUAACAAGUCCAGAACGUGAGUCAUUCUAUACAGGACAACUAGCCCAACUUUAUCAAGUCAAAGAACAAGAUGUAUCAACAUUUGGAAGAUCUGCAUAACUUGAUGGAUCAAUGCUUUCCACAUGACUAAUGCACAAUAUUACAAAAUCACACAUGGGUAAAAGAUUCAUUUAAAGUGCAAAAUAAACCAAUGGA
rnacentral:lncRNA from 10 species